GCUAUCAGAGACAAAACACAGAUUAUCAAUUUCAUUUAGAUACAGGGAAACCUUACCUGUAGAUCGAAUGCGGGUAAUCUUCAGCACGGGUGACUGCGGAAAAGGUGGAAGAAUGUAUAUCACCCAUGAUGCAACAGCAAUAUACUUCAAAGUUGAAUCCAAAUAUGGUGCCUAUACUAAUAUAACUAUUGCAACAAGUGAGUUCCCGCCUUAUGCCUGGAAGGAUGUGAUGUUUGUGUAUGAUGGUGAAAUGGUGGAAACUCACGUCAGAGCUGGAAAUCUACUACAGGUAUCUAAAUUACCAGCACCGAUGACGAAGAUAUUAGAGUGUGGUUUUGGUGUAGGUAUUGGUGGUCUUAUACCAGGUUAUAGAGGAGAGUUAGAUGAUCUAUCUGUGCAUCUGUGUAAUAAUUAAAGUGAAACAGCUGAAACCAAG